CGACAGCAAAGAGCCAGGGGGAGCCAGGAAAAGCUCGAAAAUCAGCGUAACGCUGUUGGAGAUGAGAGGGCACAGCACAAUUUUGAGAGCCAAACAAAGGCGGGGCACAGAGCUGUUGCCUCGAGAUGUGUGGCCUCAGAAGGUCUUGUCGAGGCGAGUGAUGAAAGGGAGGAGGUUCCCGAGGAUACUGGAGCCUGAAGACGCGGCGAGGGUCCGGGGCUACAUAAAAUAGGAGCAGGGCUCCAGGAAAAGCAAUUGUGAUGUGUGGUCCACGCUGCAUACUUAGAGCCAAGAGUAGGUUAAGUCUCAACUCUGCUACUUU
rnacentral:lncRNA from 1 species